GGACUGAGCCCGGGAGAGAGAGGGGAGGGGUCGGCGCGCGACCGGGUCAUGCAGGUGCAGACUGGCCGGUCGCUUCCCGCCCUCCAGCCACCCGCAGCUCCCCGGCAGGCGAAGGGCGGCCGCGCGGGUGUGGGCCGAGAGAGGGAGGCGGCUCGGCUGGAGCGCGCCGUCCGCCCGACCCCCGCCGCCUCUCGGGCGCCUGCGCUCACGCUGCGGGGCCCAGCGCAUUGUGAGCCGGGUCGAGCUCCACGCUGGCAGCGUCUGAGAGCUGUCCUGGGCCGGAGGUGGCGCGAACCCUGUGCGGCCUAGAGUGGGCCUGGGAUGCCUCAGCACUAAUGAUCAUGAUCAGAGACCCCGAGUUCUCUCGUGCUGCUACGCUUCGCAACACAUAGCACAAAUGGAAUAUGUGUUGACACACCCCUCUGAAGUUAAGAUCUUUGAUAUUAAGACCCUGACUUUUUUCCCUUUCAUUCUUCCGAACCCUCUGUGUACUUUGAGCAGCACUGUGGUUGAUUAAUAAAUCAUCAAAUGUGAAAGG
rnacentral:lncRNA from 1 species